CCUACGGGAGGCAGCAGUGGGGAAUAUUGCACAAUGGGGGAAACCCUGAUGCAGCGACGCCGCGUGAGUGAAGAAGUAUUUCGGUAUGUAAAGCUCUAUCAGCAGGGAAGAAAAUGACGGUACCUGAUUAAGAAGCCCCGGCUAACUACGUGCCAGCAGCCGCGGUAAUACGGAGGGGGCAAGCGUUAUCCGGAUUUACUGGGUGUAAAGGGAGCGUAGACGGCAGCACAAGUCUGGAGUGAAAUGCCGGGGCUUAACCCCGGAACUGCUUUGGAAACUGUGCAGCUGGAGUGCAGGAGAGGUAGGUGGAAUUCCUAGUGUAGCGGUAAAAUGCGUAGAUAUUAGGAAGAACACCAGUGGCGAAGGCGGCUUACUGGACUGUAGCUGACGUUGAGGCUCGAAAGCGUGGGGAGCAAACAGGAUUAGAUACCCGGGUAGUC
rnacentral:rRNA from 1 species